AUGACAACCGCACUCACACACAGAAAAAAUGUGCACACCUGUAUCCGUCUUGUUUUUUUUUCUGCGCUUCAUCGUUACAGGCGGCACAGCAAGCAGAGGAAUCGUUAAGCUCGAGGAAACGGCACAUUUGUUGAGGUAGGUCCAGCGGCUACGACAUAGUUAAACGAUUGAGUAUAGAAAUCAGCGAUUUGGCAAGAUAGACCGUGAACGGUCUUAGCCGUCUGUCAAUUCAGACACGCCAAGCAAAAAAAAAAAUUCGAUUCUAAAUUAAACUCGUAAUCAUCUAAACGCUCAUAAACAAAACCACGAGAACCCGACAAAUCUGAAGUGUACUUGGCGUUAGAAGAAAAAAUGGCAGAGACAACUAGCGAAGACAUGGAGCAGCAAAACUUGAAUUUGAACAGAGAGAGUAAACCGGAAAAUUCGGGUGAAUUUGACGGUUCUUUAAAGGAAAAGAUGGACGAAAUAUUACGUGAAUCGCUUCAAAAAAAAUCCGAAAAUUCGUUCCAAAAGGGCGAUCUAACAAAACCUUUCCAAUGUAGCGUGUGUAACAAAGGACUUAAUCGGUACCUUAAUCUCGUAGCCCACGUGUCGAUUCACACAGAUCACGCUCCCUUCAUCUGCCAAGCGUGCGGAUUUGAAUUCCGUAAGCGGCUCCUUCUCACGCGACACGUUAAGAGAUGCCGAGGAAAAAAAAACUAACAAUUACACACGAGAACAUGGCAAUACAAACUAAUAAUGUACAAUAUUUAUUGUAUACUUCAUAAACUUUAGUGUUCUUCAUGAGGUAGCUUCUCAAACUCAGUACAGUUAGGUUCCGGAUUCUGUAUUACAGUGAUUCUCAACCUGGGGUCCGCGGACCCUUAGGGGGUCGCGAAGUCAUUGCUGGGGGUUUGCGAGGAAAAAUAUAUUUUCCGAGUGCAGAUAGAAGUUUCAAGUCUUGUUUCCUAACAAACUGAAAAUAACAUUAUAUACAAAAUCGAUGUUUAUCCGUGGGUGUCCGCAGCAACCCAGGGCAAUUUCUAAGGGGUCCGUGGUACGAAAAGGAUUGAGAACCGCUGAAGUCACUGUAUUAGAUUCACCAAAAGAAGAGUUCGCUACCAUGGAUAUGUACUAACAUCAAAUAUUUCAUUUUAUAUUAUCUGAUUAUUUGGAUUCUUGCUACUACAUCAUUAAAAACGAAUUGGAAUUUUGAUUGAAAUAAACUUGAAUUAUUUUCAUUUGGAAA